rnacentral:rRNA from 1 species
AUUGAACGCUGGCGGAAUGCUUUACACAUGCAAGUCGAACGGCAGCAUAGGUGCUUGCACCUGAUGGCGAGUGGCGAACGGGUGAGUAAUAUAUCGGAACGUGCCCAGUCGUGGGGGAUAACGUAGUGAGAAUUACGCUAAUACCGCAUACGAUCUAAGGAUGAAAGCGGGGGAUCGCAUGACCUCGCGCGAUUGGAGCGGCCGCUAUCAGAUUAGGUAGUUGGUGAGGUAAAGGCUCCCCAAGCCAACGAUAUGUAGCUGGUCUGAGAGGACGACCAGCCACACUGGAACUGAGACACGGUCCAGACUCCUACGGGAGGCAGCAGUGGGGAAUUUUGGACAAUGGACGCAAGUCUGAUCCAGCCAUUCCGCGUGCAGGACGAAGGCCUUCGGGUUGUAAACUGCUUUUGUACAGAACGAAAAGGUCUCUAUUAAUACUAGGGGCUCAUGACGGUACUGUAAGAAUAAGCACCGGCUAACUACGUGCCAGCCGCCGCGGUAA